GAUGGAAGACGUGGAACCACAGAAUUGUGCCCUGCAGGUGCAAAAGAUGAAGCCAUAUUAAAAUCAGCUCCAGUGGUAUAAGAAAGUCACUAGAAGCCACCAGAGAUCUGACGCCCAGGGAGGACGGUGGUGUUCUGGUUAUACAGGCAGGAGAAAAUCUACAGAAUGCUCUCAUUGCGCGAUAUGGUACGUCAAAAGCUGCAGCCAGGGUGGGUGGCAGGCAGUUACGACAACGAAUGGCGCCUGGUGUCGAGUCAAUAAGCCAAGAUAAUAUGUGAAGCUGGAAUAUGACUUCUCUAGACGGAGCGACCACUUAUUUGAUUCUACAUAGAGGCUUUCUACAAGACUUACCUGAAGGCACCGGUCGCAAUGUGGAUGCCUAAAUGCAAAAGGUCGAACGCAAGAUGGCAAUGACAAGCUUGUCCAUGCUGAAAUUCUUGGAGAUAAGUGAACCUCCACAAAGUGGACACUACAGUCAUUGUCAGGCUACGCUACGAACUGGAGGAGACUCGGGUGCAAGCAUACCAGUGGUCAUUCCACACAAAGGAAGGAAUUGUGCACUGCGGUUCAUCACCACCGGCCUGCAGCUCCCAGAGACCAGUCGGAAGUGAAGCAGUCAUCGGAAUGCCCUAGAUCUCUGCUGCCGACACUGUCUACGAAGUUGCUCUCGCGAUUGCUGUGUUGGCCGGUAGAAGGGCUGGAUCAGCUUUCCGCGUGACCUCCGCUUCAAAGCCAAUGCCAAGGAGAUGUUUGCAUGGUGCGAUCGAAUUCCCCGUGCUAUCGCCAGCAUGAAUAGCUCGCAGAUUGCCAUUCAGCAAUUAGAAGGGUUCAACCUAGGCUGGUCCAGCGUUUCCUUCGCUUGGCUGAUAAAACUGGAAGAUAUUGCGGAGAUCUCUUACUUGGCUGCCCUUUUUGCUCUAGUUCGCGAGUGUCACACUUUGUUCCUCAAUUUCAUGGCACAGCGUGCAUCAUCACCACCAUGCUCUUUGAUUUUACUUUACGCAGGCAAUGCAGGGCCCCUAUAUCUUAAUGCUCGAUUUCAAGUUCCAUUGCUUCUAUCACGCAAUGCGGUGCGAGGCAGAUCGCAGCGAUGGUGACAGCGCAGCGGCGAGUGAGUCAUGUCAAAGCCGAUGACGAAGAGCGAAAAAAGAAGGAAAAUUUAUACAACCGGCUAGUAAAGGCGGCCCUAAGAACCAGUUCACGGCUUUGUUGCGUUUGCUACAUAGGAAGCGCUGGCAGAGCAUUUUUCGUGCGUGGAUCGCACAAGCUCCUGGUAGCAGACGACAUAGCACUGCGUUCUGCGAACUCAUUUAUGUUUGCGAUACCGCCUCUCAGCUGAGAACGAAAACUAAUUACAUUAAUAAAUUACUUCAAGCAUUGCAUAAACGCCCGGCAUCGCAUGUUUAUACUUUAGCACUCGCCGCAUAAUGUUUAAUUUAUACUUUACAUUUAAUUAGAAAGCAGAAACAUUCUGCAGUUCCUCGAUUAGCUUGUCAUAUCAUGACGUACACUUAAGAGGUGGCACCCACUCGUCUAUUGGUCGCAUCCUUCCUUUCUUCCACAUCCGGUGUGGGAGCGGCCCAUUUAAUGAGGUAAGUGGCGAAGUAAACGAUUCGUUUUCUGAAACGUUAUAAGAUUCCACCCCAGAAUUCGUCGCUCGUCACCCGGAAGUGCUAUGAGC